CUGACUAAAGCUUUAAAUUUAAGCACUUUAUUUACACUAAUGAGAAUAUUGUUGAGUCAAUAUAGUCCGA
rnacentral:tRNA from 1 species